GCUCAAGUCUAAGUCGCAUCAUCGCUCAAACGCUCAAAUAAAACUUUUUGCGCAGCCGGAAUCUACAGACAUGGUUGAGGAAAACUCGUGCAAAACAAAUGUGUGCGGAAACACAGCGAGGAAUCCGAGGAAAAUUGAAGCUGUAAACAAACAAGACGGCGACCGAGUGGCAAUUUAAUUAAAGAAAUUCACUGCACUAACUAUCUGCCUGCAUCGUCAUGAGAAAUGUUCCUAUUUUAAUCGAAUAAAUUGAGAAAUACGGAAUAAGUUACAAAAAUAUACAUUAUGUGUACAACUCAUUCCAGAGUGAGAAUAUUUCUUUGAUUGAUCGUGCAGAAUGUUUUCAUAAUUACUCAUCAAAAAAUCAUCUUAUUUUCACAAAUUACGUAGCAAAAACAUUUAGCCUUAGCUAAAUCCCUAAUAAAGCCUGUCAUUCUUACAUUCCUAGGCUACUUAUUUCACAUUAAUGAAUAUGGAGAACACGAUUUAUUUCAAUGUUGUGGUUUCACUUCGAUUCGGAGUCAGUAAGACUAUCUUUUGCACACCCAUUUGUGAGUGAAAAAAUAAACCUUUAAUUGGUAUACUUGGUGGAAUUAUCUUGCAGUCGCAGCCACUUUGCGGGAUGCAGUCGGAGCCAAAGGUAAACAACGGGCCAGGGACAACAAGCUGCAGAACUCCUCGCUCGCCCCUCGCUUCCCCGUUGGUGUGGCCCUUUGUUUGUUCUGACAGCCUGUCAGUGGCCAAGAUGUGGCCACACAAUGACGCAGGAGAUGGCCAGGAGGGGUGAUGUCGAGGCAGUGGGGCAGGGACACGUGACACUUGAUGGUCCGACCGCCAUUCCCCAUACCAAUUGUUUGCCCAACAUUCCGCUAG